UCUUCCUCUCCCUCUUCCGCCUCGCGCCGCCGCCGCCGUCUCGCGCCGCCACCUCUGCCUCCCUCUCGCGUCGUCAUCCUCUCCUCCUUCCCGACUCACCUUCUCCCUCUCCUUCUUCCGGCGCCGCCACCUCCGCCUCGUGCCGACCCCAUCUCGGAGCACGGCCGCCACAACCGCCGCGUGCCCGUCGCCGCCUCCGCCUCCGCCUCGUGACUUGAACAAUGUUGCAUGCAAGUUGAAGCUAAAAAGAUUACAAGCAAGCUGAGAAGCUUUGCACUAAGAUUUUGAGAUAUUAACAUUCCUAUGCAACCCAUUCUUGUGACAAGAGCUGGGCCAUUCUAGCCAAUAAUGGUCUUCCUUUGCAUAAGAUUUAAAGCUGGAUAUCCAGUUUUUCAGAAGCUUUAUAUGUUGGAUGGAUAAAACAGAAUAUACAUAUUCAAUUGUUGAGAAAACAUCAUUGGUCCUUAAUGCCUCAUUGCAAGGUGAAGUCCUUGUACUCCAUGAGUCCAUGUUCCUCCAUGCCAACUCAAAUGGUCCUUGUACUAAUAAAUCUUAUUAUUCCAUAUAGACAAACGGUACCUCCCUAGAUGCCAACUCAAAUGGUCCCUCAAAUUUUACACUUGAUGAGGAAAUGGAAUUCUAAGAAUUUGUACAGAGGUCAAAUGCGUAUGCCAAGAUUUGCUCAAUGAUUGGCCCUUGAAUUUAUGGUCAUUCUGAUGUCAAGAAAGCUAUCACAUGCUUGCUGUUUGGUGGCUCAAAGAAGGUGUAUAUAUGAUCUUAUCUGUGUGUAUUGCUGUCCCGGUCUCCCUCGAUCGCGGGGAAGGAGGAGCAGAUCCAUUCGAGAAGGUGAUGGUAUUGGUGAAGAAGAUGAUGGCUGCCGUUGGCAGCCCUCACUCUAGGGCGGCGGAGGACAUGCUGAUGCAGGCCAGCAGCCAGUGUGGUGAGGAGGAGCUGGAAAGGAGCAACAUGACGCUGCUGAGGUGUUGGUCUCGACCUAAAAAAUUGGCAUGCUGACUUCGUCAAGGUUGAAUAGCCACCCUCUUCGACUCAUCUUGCGGCAUUAGAUGCAAGUAGCCAAUGGCGUGGUGGAAAGAAGAGGAUCUGAGGAUGGUGGCGAAUCUGGAGCCAAGGUCGAUGGGGCGGGCGGCCGAUCUAGGAGGCACACCACCCGGAGGCAAGUGACCUCCAAGUUCCUGACUUCCUGUGAGCCAUGGCUCGGAAUCUAGGCCUAUCGUAGGCUAAGAAGAUAACCAGUGUUCUCACGGGCAAUGGUGGGUCACCGUAUAUCACGUAGCCAUGCUGGGGUCAAUCUAAGAGCCGCUGAACGAGAUGGUCGGAGGCUGCGAGGUGUGCUACCAGUCUACCACUACCAGAAGAACAUCACCGUGGAGGACUACGCCAGGUCCGUCGUCUCUAACAAGCCAGAGGGGAAUUUUUUUUUGGCACUACAAAGAUUAAUAUAAUUGACAUACCACAUGGCUGAAUCUUUUGGCGCAUCACGGUGUCUGGCUUGAGUGGAACAGAAAACAGUAGCUGAGCUGAAGAAUAUCGAUCCAUGGGAAACUGAGGUAAUGUUGCAACAAAAUUCAUUGAACAACACAAUGCUUUUGACUUGUACAUGUCACUUUUUUUUCUCUUUUUUUUUUUCAAAAUUUGCUUUGUAGUCUGCCAGCUCAGCUGUUGCAAAAUAAAGCCCAUCUCAGCCGUGUUAGUUUUUAUCAUGCUCUCACUAUCAUAGGACAGCAAGUCCAUAUUGAUCUAGCUAUUCUGGUGGUUGCUCCUCAGUGACUGCGAUACCAAAGUAAUGUUCCUACUUACAUUUCCUGAUUUAUUUUAUUUUGCAUUGAUGCAAUUGUUUCCUAACUCUGUUUAUGUAUCAGGUACAAGUACAUAUUUGUAUUAUAUCACGUUUUUUCCAUAGUAUGUGUAUUUCGAACUAUAGUUAUAGUUUCAGUUUGUAUUACUUUUAACUAUAGUUUGACACUCAAAAUCUAUUAAUUGUGGUCAGUUCCAGUACAUAUUAGUAUUAAAUUCACACCCCAAUCAAUUUCUAUUACAAUUUAGUUGUCAUGUUAAUAGUGCCUAUUAUCUCAGUUAUUUAUUUGGCACUACAGCAGCCACAUAGAAAUUGUGAGCAAUAUUUAUAGCACAUUAGCUCUUGUGUUCAGUAGGAAGAAGCUGUUGUUCCUAAUGGAGGAAAGAAAGAAAAAUAUAGUGUUAUUACACUUUACUCUUUGAACGUACUUGGUUGAGCACUCCUAUUUUAGAUUGACUAUAGUUAAAUGGUUAUGUUAUUUGCUUUAUUCAGCAGCCAUGCAACUUCAGGUUACACUCAGAGGUCCAAGGCUGUAAUCAAGAAAGAAAAGCAGCAUGGUCACUAUUCUACUGUAAAUAUGAUCCAGCAUAAGUGCACUUCGUAUGUACAUACUAUCUAGAAGCUUGAUAUACUAUCUACCAAAGAAAACCUAGGCUUCCUAUUUCAGCUUGUUUAGUUCGGUUAGCACUGGGGUGAAUGAACAUGGAAAUGCCAUACAAUGUCUCCUAUUUCAGCUUGUUUAGUUCGGUUAGCACUGGGGUGAAUGAACAUAGAAAUGUCAUGCAAUGUCUCUGCGUAUGUAAUCCAGAGCGCUGUGUGUGCUUACCUCUGACGAUAAUUUUCGUGUUUGCCUGCAUUCUUUCGACUAUUCUAAUUAUCACCUGUUCUUUUUAA